ensembl:lncRNA
GGGAAACCAAGGCUUGUAACUGAGGAAUUUUCCUGGAAGAAUUCUAAUCUUCCUAUAAAGAGCUUUCAAGUAAAAUUUUUGAACAAGCAGAAAUCUUAUUAGAAUAAAAGUAGGUUCUGGUGAUGCUGAACUGUUGGGCUGUUUGUGCUGGAGGAGGUGGAAGGUGGCUUGGACACAGCUCUGGAGUAGGCAGAACACUUAAAUGCCUGUACCUGUCAUGGGCUGAAUGCUUGUGCUCCCUUGUCAUUGGUCAGGUCUGAAGAAGUCCCACCAAUGGAGAGAAUGGAGACUUCAACUCACCUCCACCCACAGACGCCUUCUUCAAGAACCCUAAAUGCUUUACAGACAUUAUUUCUAAUUAAUCCCCACAACAACCCUGUGAGGUCCUACUGGAUGAGGCCAUCCAGGCACCGAGACACCCUGGGUGAGAGCUUUCCAACUCAGCAGAAAUUGGCCUUGCUCACCUGGGCUCAAAGCCUCUGCCAGGUUUGGCUGUGACACAGCUGUGUUGCCUGGCAACAGGGCUUAGAUGGCAACAAUCUGCUGAAAUGAUAGAGAGAUCCACCUCCACUCCAACACCUACUCACUCAAGGUGCUUCUCUCUUUCCCCUGAAGGAUGAAGACUGCAGUGCUGUUGCUAAGUCCAUG